rnacentral:rRNA from 1 species
GAGUUUGAUCAUGGCUCAGAUUGAACGCUGGCGGCAUGCCUUACACAUGCAAGUCGAACGGCAGCAUGAUCUAGCUUGCUAGAUUGAUGGCGAGUGGCGAACGGGUGAGUAAUACAUCGGAACGUGCCCUGUAGUGGGGGAUAACUAGUCGAAAGAUUAGCUAAUACCGCAUACGACCUGAGGGUGAAAGUGGGGGACCGCAAGGCCUCAUGCUAUAGGAGCGGCCGAUGUCUGAUUAGCUAGUUGGUGGGGUAAAGGCCCACCAAGGCGACGAUCAGUAGCUGGUCUGAGAGGACGAUCAGCCACGACUGGGACUGAGACACGGCCCAGACUCCUACGGGAGGCAGCAGUGGGGAAUUUUGGACAAUGGGCGAAAGCCUGAUCCAGCAAUGCCGCGUGUGUGAAGAAGGCCUCGGUUC